GACGAACGCUGGCGGCGUGCUUAACACAUGCAAGUCGAGCGGUAAGGCCCUUUCGGGGGUACGACGAGCGGCGAACGGGUAGAGUAACACGUGGGUGACCUGCCCUUACGCUCUGGGAUAAGCCUGGGAAACUAGGGUCUAAUACCGGAUAUGACUCCAUGACGCAUGUUGUGGGGUGGAAAGCCUUGUGCGGCUAGGGAUGGGCCUGCGGCCUAUCAGCUUGUUGGUGGGGUGAUGGCCUACCAAGGCGACGACGGGUAGCCGGCCUGAGAGGGCGACCGGCCACACUGGGACUGAGACACGGCCCAGACUCCUACGGGAGGCAGCAGUGGGGAAUCUUGCGCAAUGGGCGAAAGCCUGACGCAGCGACGCCGCGUGGGGAUGACGGCCUCGGUUGUAAC
rnacentral:rRNA from 1 species